GUUCUUAAAGAGGAAGAAAAAUGGACACGGAGAAGCAAUUUGCCUUCUAGUGGGAAAUAACUGCUCCCUUGCAUUCCAAACAGAUCGUGAGAGAUAAAGAGGAAGGCUUUCCUGGUAGGAUACCGUGGGCGAGGACUCCGCUUUCUGACUUUGUUUGUCUAUGGUAUAAAGGACUCUGGGCAGACAGCAGUCAUCUUUGUCUUGGCUACCCCGAAAACAGGCUGAAGCACCAGGACAAGCCUUUGUCCUCCAUCUGCAGCCACGCAGGAUUCCAGGAAAAGCAAAGCCUUGCAGAAUAGAGCCACAAUGGGGCUCAGCCUCCUCCGACGCGCUGUGGCUAGGCUGCGGGCGAACCAACCCUUGCCUCCCUUCAAGCAAUAGGGACUUUCGGGGAUCACCUUACAGAGUUAAUGUUGAGACCACGAUUAACCCCUCCUUGACCACCUCUUGCCCUCGGCCCCAAUUCACCCUCUGCUUAACCUAAAGCUCGGGUCUACACGGUGAAGGCAAAGUUGCGGGCGUCAGGAGAUCCCCUUACUCAUUCCCCUCCUGAUGAUCGGUUAAAUUUCUUCUCGGGGUUUUCUCCGUACUUGCCUCUUUGACUGGCGAUGGGUCUGGUGGCUGAGCCUAGCCUCGCAGUUGCUGGCACAGGCUCUCCUGGCAUUACCAGGCUACUCACAGUGAUUUUUUUUUUUUUUGCCUUCCCCAAAUUUGAACCAGGAGAGCGUUUACUUCCCGUCCUACCCCAGGGACCUGCUGAUUUCCCCCAUUACUGUAAAUUGCUGCUCUGGGUGCUUUGCAUUUGUUAUUAAGAUGUAAUCAGGGUUGCCUAACUGAUUAACAGUCUCGCCCUCAGCCCCCCACCCCUCACACCUGACUGGGAGGGAAAGCAAUGAAAACAGCCAGGACUGGGGGGUGGGGGUGGUGGUGGUGGGGGGGCAGUGGGUCCUUCUGGACAGCCUGAUAGCGGAGAGAACGUCAGAAAGCUACCGGGCUUCUCCCUGGAUCCCUACCGAUAGAAGAAACCUUGUGCCUCUCAAGUUCCUGGGGACUGAGAGUUGGGGACCCAACCUAGGGCCUUGCGCUCGCUAGGCAAGCACUCUACCGCUGAGCUAAAUCCCCAACCCCGCAAUCUUAACUCUUAACCACUGGGCCAUUUCUCCAUCCCUGUAUUAGGAACUGGAUAUGUUAUUAUAGAUUUGAUUGUGUCAAAAAUGAGAUGAUACCACAACUUCGUGCCAAGGCUUAAUACUUUAUAAAAACAGUUCACAUAAACUGGAGACAUACCAGAAGGAAUUCUGUAAGCAUUCAACAUUUAUUAAACGAUUUUUUUUUAAAUUUAA